UUCAAGAACAAAGAAAGAGAGCAAGAGCAAGAGAGAGGGGUUCGGCCCCUUCAAGAAAAGAAAAUAAUUUUUUUAGCCUAUCAACUUUGAUCCAAAGACCUUAACUUUCUAAAAUUCCUAUUAAGUGGGAAACCCUCUUCAAGGUGAUACAAAUUUGGAAGCAAAAGAGUAUUUUUUUUUCAAAGUGAAGAAUUUGGAAAAGAUAUUGGAGAGCCCGAGACCUGAGUCGGGAUUUGUUGGCAAGCGAUCGAGGUUGGUAGUGAACGAUCGAGGUACGGACGUUCGAUUGGGUGACCCUCCAGUAUAGGAUAUCUACAGUCUGCCAUUCAGACUACUCCUUUUGAUCCGGAGCUCAUAUUUUGGUACAUAUCUUCUGUUAUCCACAUUUUGUAUAUAGGACUAUUUGGGUACGGCGAGGCCCUGUCCCGCCAUAUGUUCUGUUAUGUUUUGUAGAGGCCUGUAGUCAUAUUUGUGGGUCAUGGGUCAUGUUUGUUUGUUUGUGAUUAUGAUUUGCGUCUUAAUGCGGGUCGUACACUAUUAUGGCCAAAACGACCCAUUUGUACGUAUAUGUGUAUAUAUCUGGCGAUGUGUAUUCCGCCAAUCUAUCGGAUUUGGAUAUGAUGUUCUGUACGGGCGACCGCUU